rnacentral:rRNA from 1 species
GAUGAACGCUGGCGGCGUGCCUAAUACAUGCAAGUCGAGCGAACAGACGAGGAGCUUGCUCCUCUGACGUUAGCGGCGGACGGGUGAGUAACACGUGGAUAACCUACCUAUAAGACUGGGAUAACUUCGGGAAACCGGAGCUAAUACCGGAUAAUAUAUUGAACCGCAUGGUUCAAUAGUGAAAGACGGUUUUGCUGUCACUUAUAGAUGGAUCCGCGCCGCAUUAGCUAGUUGGUAAGGUAACGGCUUACCAAGGCAACGAUGCGUAGCCGACCUGAGAGGGUGAUCGGCCACACUGGAACUGAGACACGGUCCAGACUCCUACGGGAGGCAGCAGUAGGGAAUCUUCCGCAAUGGGCGCAAGCCUGACGGAGCAACGCCGAGUGAGUGAUGAAGGUCUUCGGAUAGUAAAACUCUGUUAUUAGGGAAGAACAAAUGUGUAAGUAACUAUGCAAGUCUUGACGGUACCUAAUCAGAAAGCCACGGCUAACUAAGUG